rnacentral:lncRNA from 1 species
UUUGUCUUUGCAUGAAGUCUGUAAGUGUUACUAAAACUUAAUUAGUAUAAUAAUAGAAUGAAGUGUGAUAUCUCAAGAUGGAUAGAGCAAGAUGGCGACUAUGGAGUGAUCAUGAAGAAUUGAGAGAGAUGUAUAGAUACAACAUACUGAAAACAUGACAAAAAAAAAGCUAAUUAACAUCACAAAGGAGUAAAGAGAAUUGGAAGAGAUGAGAAAAAUCGUAAAUCAGGGAGAUGUUAGGUUUGGAAUUUGGAAUAGAGGUGAUCACAAACCAACCAUGAAAGAGCAGACAAAGGAUUCUUUUUCUUUUUUAUAUAUAGAAAGAGAACAAUUUAGUAUGUAAGAAGUGCAAAAUUAGUGCUUGGACUCAAUGAUUGAAAAGUAUAGGACAUUAGUGCAUGCCAUUAAAAGACUGCCUCCUUGACCACUUAAUUUUAUACAUUGUAUAUUAGAUAAGAGUUAGAUUAUGGGUUUUAUUAAUUGUACGCAUGAUUGUUCUUUAAAAAGUUUGGCAAAUUAUUAUUGGCUUGCAAUGUACUGAUGGUUCUGAAACAACAAUAUGGGCAUUGUGGUCCAAUGUCAUGACAUUUAGGGUUUUUACAUCAAUCUUAUCAUGUCAGAAGCUUGAUAUGUUGGAUUGUCCUGUAUUUUUUCCAAUUGCAUUAACUGAUUAAAUGCAUGUCGUUGUAGAAUAUUUGCUGUUAUUUUUGUCUAUUUGAGAGACUAAUGAAAUUUUGGAGAGCAACGGUGAAGAUUGGAAACAAGGCAUGAUAAUGCUAGUGGUGCAGUAUGGUCAAGUUUGAGUAAUUGAUUUUUCUGUGAUAUUUGAUAAUGCUAGUGGUGCAGUAAAAUCAAGUUGAGUAAUUCAUUUUGCUAUAAUAUUUUAUUAUCUCCCCUUUCUUUAACUUGACUACCAUGGCAGCAAGGAAGGUACUUGAUGAUCGAACAUGCUGGGACUUAAGUAAACAAUGCUUAUAUAUAACAGAAAGCUGUCCAAUGUUUUUGAUAUGUUCAAUUCAGCUGUUUUUCCUUUGUUAUUAUUCUAAAUAACUAAAUAUUUGCUUGAGCUAUCUUGGGUAACAUAGCUGUUGGAUGAAGUGGCAGCCCAAGCUCCAUUUCUUAGGUGGAGUUCCCAUGUGAAUAAGUUGUUCCUGUUAUCGAGGUCAAUGUAUGCUUGGCAUGGCGGGACAAGCACUUUACAUCCUUUUCUAUAUUGCGACUGAUUUCACUUUACAGAUUUCUCACAAUUUUCUAGUUUAACUGUAUGAAGCGACAUUGCAUAGUUGAGGGGUUUUAUACAUUUGUUGACUGCUAAAAUUUUCUAUGUAAAGCUGUAAACAAUGAUUGUCUUAUCUUACUACAUUAGCAUAUUCUGCUGUAGCAUACAAGUGGAAUACGACUAGUUAUAAAGCAUAUUCAAGCUGAAUGAGAACUACUUUUCAUGACUGCUAGCAUAUCUUUCGGCAAUUGGCACGAGUCUAGUUAGAAUAGUCAACUUAUUUGGCCUUCCAAUACUCUUUAUGUGCUUUUCAUCAAAGUUUGAAAGCUAUAGUCUUAGGUAAUCCUAUACUAAUAAUCUUUGGAUUGCAAUGAGACCAUGAUAGGCAUUAGAGUAGGGAACUACAAUGAAAAUGAGUGUGGGGUGUCUAUGCUGAAUUUUGUAAUGUUCCAUUCAAAUUUUACUCAUGCAGAAAAUUCAUUCUACGAGUCACUGUGCUUGUAUUGAGGGUGCACAUUUUCCAAUAAUAUUCUUCUCAGUUUAAGUCGGGAUUGACUUGUGAAGUAUUGACCAUUAGUUCUCCUCCUAGAUGUGGUAUUUGAGAAGGCGCGUCUGAGGUCCGUGCCUUAGGGUGAGAUGCUAGUCACUGCGCCUUGGAGCUAUUGAGGCAUUGCAUAUGAGACGAGGUGUGUGCAAGAUGUACAACCUCAUGGGGUACACUUUUUAAUUAGUUUUGGAUUCUCUAUCUCUAUAAGAACUGACUGCUUUAACAAUUUUACUUGGUUUAGAAUGAAUUUAUAUUUCUCAAAUCUCGCUUCCUUUGCGCCUCUUCCUGCACUCCUUUUCCGCUUGCACCUGAAUCACUCCUAAACCUCCUAAAUGAAGUGGUGCUGCCCAAUAAAAAGAAGAGGAAGGAGAAGAGGAAGAGGAAAGAGGAGGAAAAGGAGAAGAAAAGGAGAAGAAAAGCAAGAGCUAGCGCAUGGUUAUGCACGCCUUGUUACCUAGGCUCUAGGAACUCCAAGCUCCUUUUCAUGCCUUGCACCUUUCGAAACUAUGAUUCAUAUUACUUCACUUUGUGCAUGUUUGCAGUGUUUAAUGGGUUGAUGUGUCAAGUCGGUUUUGGGUGAUUGGUCAGUCUGAGUUUCUUUGGUGAUUUAUCGGUCACUUGCAACCUAGUUUGGUUGGCUUUGAGUCAGCAUUCCCUCAAACAAAAGUGGGUUUGGGCCAAGGCAUAUAGGUUAUCCGAGGUCACCUUGGGAUUGUUGGCAGGUGCCCCAACAUCUGCUCACAUGGUAGAGGCUGGGGUAGGACACAAUCGAGACUCGUGGUGCUGUGUGCAUAUACUUUUAAGUGAGUUGGUUGCCUUAUUUCUUUCUGCUCGAGCGUUUGGAAUUGUGGUUAGCUCCAACGAUCCACAUCUUAGAUGUCUGAGGGUGCUUGAUAAGAAGUUGGUGUAGUCUGUCACAUUCUGAAAAUGAUAGAAGCGUGCUUAGGUAUAUAAGGAUUACAAAGCUUGUAUUAGUCACUUGUUGCAAUGAUAGCUAAUUAUUAUCGAAUUUGAGCUACCAAAUUUCAAAGGGAGUUAGUUAAGUACAAUUCGUAUCAAAGAAGAUUAGAGUCUUAUUUAUUGAAAAUUCUUUUUGACUACUAUUUGGAAAGGAAAAAAGAUCCAACUCUUCAUUUGGGAAGUAUAUCACAGGACCUAUUGGAGUUGAGUCAUGGAAAGGCCUAGACUUUAACCCUUUUCGGAUUCUUAUUAACCUUUUCAGUUUCUUAUUAAGGCAAUUUCAUAAGAACAAGCAUGAACUUAAGGGUACUUAAUUAAAUGCAUUGGAAUUAAAUGGAUUUUCUAAUGAGUACUAGGAAAUAUGGGCAUAAAUGAAUUUUUUAUGGGAGUGGAUGCAGUGGAACAGACCUAGAUUCUGACCCUUUCUGUAUUCUUGUAAGGGAAAUUUUAUAAGGACAGGCAUAAUCUAAAGGGUACUUGGUUGAGCCCUACUGGAGUUGAAUGGAUUAUCUGAUAAGUAUUAAGAUGAAUGUAAUCAUCAAAAAAUCUCUGAAAAUUAGCAAAAUAACACUUCUUGGUGAAACUAAGGUUAAACCAACGAGGCAUACGGGUGUUAAGCAGAUGCAUUUGUCCCCAAUUUGAAUGAUACGCUCAAACUUAGGCUAAAUUUUCACAAGCUAUCAUCUCAACUGUUAGUUGUAAGAAGCCUUGCAUUCAUUUUUUGCGCUCAAACUGUCAAAAUGCAAACCGACAUAAAAACUUCAAAUCGUGCAUUCAUCUUCUGCCACAUUAUCAUCAACUGGCAUUAUUGCAUAUUAUCGUAUAUUCAUGAGUGUUGAUGAAUAGUUAAGACCUUGAAACUGAUUAGAGAAAACAUGAGAAAAGAUCAAGUUCUUUGUCAAGGAAAAGAAAAGAAAUGCAAAACGCAUUUUUCGCUGAGAGCUGGAAGUAGUACUUGUGAAAUAAUGCAUUAGACAAUCUAUGAAAUGAUGCAUAAGACAAUCUAUGUUAGAGCGGGGUAUAAGAACCGGAAAUGCAGCAUGAUUGAAAUACAAAUUAAAGGUCUGCGUUAUAAUUGAGUGUUAUUUCCAAGAAUUAUUAUAGUUUAAUUUCUCUAAUCCCCCAUGCAACAGAUAUAUUUCAGGAAAUAAGUAGAGAGAUCUGUGAUUGGUAAAUUUGUUAUAUUAUGCAAUUACUAGUUGUCUUAGAUAAUGCAGUGCUGUUUUUGUUGAUUGCCAUGAAUUUGAACUUGUCAUAGGAAGUAGUUCAAGUAUGCCUUUAGGCUGUUAAAUGUUGUCAGCUUUAGUUGGCAUUUGAUUUGAUAAUCAUUGUUUGGAUGCAUUAAGUAUUAUUUGGUGCAUGUUGGGCAGUUCAUCGUAAUUUUGGAUGUUCCCGUAGUUUGUGCUCCUAUAUAAUAGCGGACUUAUGAUGACUACCUAGUAAGAGCUAAUGUGUAGAGAGAUACGGGUCUAACACAUGUUUAGAGCUUCACCUCCUUUCAACUCUUCUAUUUACUUGCAAUUUAAUAUUGGUUAUCCCAAUAUUUAACAAGAAUAGUAUAAGUAAUCAUUGUUAAUGGCGGUCAUACUUUGUGUCCAGUAAUUUUGUCAGUUGCUUUUAAGUAGUAAUAUUUUAUGGAGCUUAAAGUUAACCUGAUAUAUAUGUUCAUUUUGAUAGUUAAGAUGGGAGGCUAUUUUGUUAUGUGCAUAUAUUUCAUCAUUAUUCCUACUGUUUCAUCAUAUACCAUCUUAGAUUGAGGGAAGAUUUUCCUUCUUUUUUUCUUUUUUUUUUUUUUAAACUGAUGCUUCAAUCACCAGUAUUAACUCUUUCCUUCUGAUUUGACGAGAGUAAAAUCUGUAUUCUUAAUAUUGGUUUUGCAAGUUCUUAGUUUUCUUUCGCAUUGGUUUUCUCAGUUCCUAGUGUUGGUAGUAUGCAAGUUGGAUAAAGAUCUUUAAACCGUUUCUUGUAUACCUCCUUUGUAGUUCCUUUCCAUAGGUAUUUUUGUUGCCAUACGUGUGAUUGAAAAUGUUUUAGAUACUUGAUAUAGUCUUCAUCUGUUGUAUAUCUAUAGCAAAGAUCAGGAGCCAAGGCUAUUCUUCUCAUUGUAAAAUUAAUAUCGAUGGUUGAUCUUUUGUGCUUUGGGCAUAACAUGAGUUACAAUGAGAUCAACUUUCUUUCGGGCAUCUGAUAAGAUUUAGUCUAUUCUUCGUGUAUUUGGAACUUUGAAGAAAUCUAUUCUUCGUGUAUUUGGAACUUCGAAUUCUUCCUUAAUGAAUCUGUCGUUGCUUGGAUGACUUGGAUGAUAAUGUCCUUUGAUUUUUGGAUCUGACACUUAGCAGAGAGCAUGCCAUGCCGAACGAACUGGUAUUUUGAAACGUUAUAAUCCAUUUCUGUGUAUCGCCUCUUCUUAUCUAUCUCUUGGAUUUGUUCGACAACUCCAUGAGAAAUGUACUUACCUUUUCUCGCUUGUUGCUUGAUCAUUAGACAGCUGUAAAAUUGAUGACUCUUCAUGCCUUUGUCGGGAAGUUUUGAAAAUUUGAGUAGCUUGCAGAGGAACUUUGGAAAAUUAAGUUAGCUGGGGUAAACAAAAAAAAAAAAGAAAAAAAAGAAAACGAAAAAAAAAGUAAUGACACAAGUCGAUUGCACGUGUGGGCAUAGAAUUGCUUUUGUGAUGAAUGUGUCUCCAGUCCGAAAUAGUUCGGAUUGCUUUAUUUUCUGACACAAUGGUUAUCUUCGUUGUUCGAUGUUUCCAAGUCAGACAUGUAAGUGUGUUCAAGAAAUAAUAUAAAUGGAGCUGGAAUUAUUGAGGUUUUCUUGCUAUAUGCAGGAUUGUCAUAUUGGUCGAGAGCUUAAUAUUACAAGUUAAUAACUAGAAUCCAAGGCGAUAAGAAAAUUUUUAGGAAAUGAUAUUGAAGAAUUGGAAGAGUUUUAUUAAGGUUUGUUUGCACCCUAAUUAAUGUCGUGAUCUUCGACAGAUUACGAUGCCUUCGAUGAUUAUAUUAUUACAAUUUCUCAAUCUAUUCAUGUCAUGUCCUGAAUUUCAGCGGAAGCUUACUGGUCACGUGCACAGACCUGCUGUGUACACCACUACCUCUCGUGUACAUCAGGCGUCUAAAAUUAACAUAGCAAAAGUAUAUUUUCUUAACCAGGUAAUCAGAGCAAAACUAGAAGUUCACAAGUUUAAACUAAAACAAUACCAAUUACAAUUUAGAAACAAAAUACAAAGUACGUUCUAAAUAGUCCUAAUUUACAUCUUAGAACUAAACUAAAAUAAGCUUGCAUGGGUUUAUCUAUUUCAACAUCCAGUAAUCUCUAGCUAGUUGUAGACCCCUUGCCACGAACCGUAGCCCUUUCUACUGUGGAAGGCUCUGCAUAAAAACAAUCAACAAAUAGGGGUAAGAACUAUUAAACAAUAAUUUUCAGAGUGACGAAGGACACCACUAGGUCAACUGAAGCAGGAGUAAACUACACUAAAUAGAACAAGUAAGUGCAGCAAAUAGAUACAAUGAAUUAAUCAUAAACCUACCUCAACAUGAUAUGUUUUCUAACAUGUCACACAUACUAAUCAUUACAUAUACCAGCUAAUGGUUCAUGCUAGUUACAAUUAUCCAUCAAUAACCUACAUGUCAUGAUUUAUGCAGCAUGUCAUCAUUAUAGUUUAAUUAACUAAUAAUAUCACAUAGUUACUUCCUACACUAACAGGAGUGUAAACAUGUAAAUAUUGUCAUUACAACUAAUGAUUAAUAGGAAUGUCAACCUUCUAGUAUGUUCAGUACUAGGUAUAUCUCAACUAAUGAUAUGAAGUAUCUUUACUACUAUGUUCUCUAAGGUUACAUUCAUUUACAUUAACCUAAUUAACAAGAGACUUACACGUGGUAAAGUCCCGGCUCGUGCUGUUCCUAAUGGCUCUGUGGAAGUCAACUCUAUUCACGGCAAUCCACUUCGGCGCUCAAUCUCAUACAGGCGAUUUGCUGUCGUAUAGGCCAAUUCCGGAGUGCCGGCUUGUGGGGAGCGAUCCUCACAAGUAUGUGCGAAUGAGCACAUUGGCAAGCAAGCGUGAUCCAUAGCGUAAGGUCCAUAGGUCUCAUACCCAAUCAUCAUGUCUCUAACAUGGAAUUUCAUCUUCGACACAAAGUCGACUAUUAAUAACAAAGUCAUAUACUACUUUCAACUACUUGGUGACAUAUUUCUACUAAUAGAGUGUAAUACACUGGAUCUUAGCAAAUUGCAAGAUUCGAGUGUUUGAUCUGUGUGUGGAGUCUUUCCACAGUUUUUGGAGGGUCGUUGAUAGUGUUCCGACCCCUGGCGCGCAUCCCGAGGAUGUUGGAGUGAGACUUGGCACCAAAAUCCCAAAAUUGGAAUUUUUGGUCAGCUCUCGGGUAGCCUGCAGCAGGGCUUGUACCGGAACAAGACUGGCCUUGUACCGGUACAAGGGUUGAUGGUUGUACCGGUACAGCCAUCGGGCUUGUACCGGUACAGAGCCGCAGACCGCGCGACCCGAGCCUCGGGUUUGCAAUUUCGUCGGCCUUGUACCGGUACAAGAGCCCGGUACCGGUACAAGGACAGGCAGUUUCGUGCAGAAUGAAAUACAGGCGGGGUUUUGUGCGUUUCGUAGUCCUCUAUUAGUAACCCACGCCCCGAGGGCAUCUCCUAGCUUGGAACUUGCAGGGAGGAAGGUGGAGGAAGCCCUCCACACCUUCCUUUGUGAUUUCUUGAUUUUGGUGGGGUUUUAGAGACUUAACCUGUCUUUUUUUGCUCAUUUUUGCUUGUUGGAAGCCUUCUUCCACAUUGGAGCUUGAUUUUGGAGCUUGGCUGAGGAAGAUCUUGGGGACUUGGAUUAGUUUAGAGCUUGGAUUGAAGCUUCUAAGAGGUAGCAAACAUGUUCUCUCCCUCUAGAUUCAAGUUUGAUUUGAGAUAGAUUUUAAGAUGAAACCUGAGAAUGAGGUUUUUUAGGUUAAUAUUUGGCGCAUUUUGAUAUCUAGGGCUUUUGAACGGCUAGAUGAGUGAAUUAGAGGCUUUAUUAGGUUGGAUUGGAUGAGCCCUAGCUUCAUUUGGAGCUUUAGAGGAGAUUUUGCCACUAGAGGUGAGUUCUCAUCCACCUAUGCAUUGAAUAGCUUAAUGUUUGCAGUAGGUAUUGCGUCGUUCGGCUGUUAUGACUUGUUCUGGCCUGGCGUGUGCAGAGACUAGAGGACACCCUUCGUUGGAGCCGCGUACGAGUGCAGUUUCGUUGUCCAUCGGUGGGUUUGGCUUCGUUGGAAAUGGGGCGAAAUGCUCCCCUAUUGCUCUUUCUUUCCUUGUUGUAAAUUAUUUUAAGUUCCAUUUCUAUGUAAAUGCGAAUUUAUAUGAAUUUUAGAACAGCUUAUAAAUGCUAUGCAUUGGUGUAUUAUGAAAAUUCCACUUAGUAUAUAGAAGUAGGUAUGAGUGAAAGAUGCGAUACGGCAAAAAAAGUGUUUAUCUUGCAAGUGGAAAAUACAUUUCUUUAUGAGAACAUGUGACUUGCGAAUAAUGUACUUUGGAACAUUAGUUAGCCAUUCUUUGACAUUAGAGGAACAAGAGUGUCAUAAAGGGGCCACUUGAAACUGGCCUAAAAACUAUGAACUGAAAUAGAGAUAUAGUGAUAGGCCACUACAUAUCUGUAUCUUCCAUGUUAGAAGACAUGAUGACAUAGGGAUAGGCCAUGAGAUUUAUUUGACACAUAUCCAUCGUUAUCAGACAUGAGAAUUGGUACUUGCGACAGAUCGUUGACUACUUGCCCAUUGUGCCUCAUUCGCACAUGUUGUGCAAGGGUCGCUCCCUACAAGCGGCACUCGGAGAUAGCCAUCGCGAUUCAUAUUCGCCGUGCGGAGAAUUGGCGCCGCCGAAGCUGGAUGUGCGUGGGCCAGGCCUCAUCCUUAGGCGUGGGAUGUUGCUACACACGGGGCAUUUAGGCUCAGCACCGCCAGACAGCCUACGGGUGGUCUCAUGGCGCCAUAGACAGCCUUUGGGUGGUUCUCUUUCAGAUUGACUUUGUGUAAUCCAUUAUGACAUGUAUCUGGACACAUGAGGAUUUAGUAUACUAACUUGGACAUUGAUUAUUAAUAGCUAAACAACGGAACCUUACUGAUUUCACAUGUGAACAUCAUGAUAGUUGGAAGGACAUUUACUUCAUGCAUAGUUGCCUUUCAUUACUUUAUUUGUAUUUAUGCUAAGUUGAUGAUAUCACUGUCGUAGUAGGUACAUGGUUUAACUUACCUUUCGCUUUAUUAUACUUUUAUAAGUCACUGACUCUUUGUAGCUUGAGGCCUUAUGGUGGCAUUCACUUGAAGUACAGUAAUUGCCACUCGGAACUUAUCCUUAAUAGUUCUCACGCGCCUGUUUAUAUGUUCCUUCUUCAGAGCCUUCGCCACCGGGGAGGACGGGAUCGCCGGCAAGGGUGUCGCGAUGCUACGCUCGCGAGAGUGGCUGUUGCCUAGGCUGGUUUAUCCUCUUUCUUUUGAUAUUUGAGAGAGUGUGAGGCUUUUGUAUCCAUGUAUAGAGACCACCUGUGUACCUACCUAUAGCACUUGUAUUUGGGAUCCCUAUUGUACUUACUUUAUGUUUUAUUUAGUGGAUUUACAGUUUUACCCUUAUCCCUUGUUGUAGCAUUUAGACAUUUAUUAUGCUCUGAUACUCCUAGAUGCCUCUUUACUGCUUUUAUUAUUGUUGUUUUUAGACGCCUUAUAUGUUGUAGACAUAUGGCGGGUCUGGGCACGCGCCGGGCGGGCUUCCGCUGGGUCCCGGGGCGUGACAUAGAGAAUAUGACUUAAACAAAUACAUGGUUUAUAUCAUAUUAAUGGUUCUAGCGGGCUAUACCUGCAUACUCAUAUAUAGUCCUCUCACUACUUCCUAUACAUAGGGAAAGUGAUUUACUAAAGGCAUAGUCACUGAUUCACUAUGAUGUUCAUACAAACUCAUGGUAUAUGUUCUAUAUUUCUAAACCUCCACUACAGGAAAUAAAUAAGUAUUAUGCAAAUAUUUCUACUUGACUAAACAAGUAUAUCAUUUCACGACCUAUAGGUCAGAAUCUACAUCAUUACGUCCAACUCUAGUUACUUAACUAGGUCAUAUUCAAUAGCAUAAAGUUCAUGCUAACUCUAUCAUGUGAAUAUCAUUAAAACUUGUCUACACAAGCAUACGAAACCUCAUAUAAGGUAUUCUACACAUGAUAUCUAAGCAAUUCAUUUCACAAUAUAAAGAUAUAAUCUUAUUAUAUAUGACAGGCACAAAAAUUCUGUCGACAUGUCUAUAACAUGGAAUAAUAUAGUUUAGCUUUACAAGUUAACUAUCAUAACCAUUCUCCACUUAAUUGUUAAUCUACACUAAGUGUCACAUUCAUAGCUUUACCUCGAUUCUCUAUUGAAUGAUGCAAUGUCUAACUUGUCUACACAAGUUUUACUAAUCUUAUAUAAAGCAUGCUAACUAAGCUAUGUCCAAAAUCUCUUUUUCUCUACUACAUAGAGGUUUCACUUAAUCAUAUAUGGUAAGCAUGUUUUAUGCAUGCACACAUUCAUUCAAACAUAUAUUCACAUGAAUAUGUAGGAAUUACAACUUAUUAAUGUCAAAGAAGAUAUAGGAGGAAUUCACCCAUUUUGGUAAAAUCAAACCCACCAAAUUACUGUCGACUCUUGUCGAUCUCGCGAGCGAAGGUAUUCUUUAGCCUCCAAGCAUUCUAACAACCAUACUAAAGUUAGAAGCUUUACUCAAACCUCUACAUAAUACCGCACAUAAACUUCUCACUUAGGUAGAAUUGUACCUAGUAUAGAAUCCAAAUUUAAUCUUCUCUUCAAUUUAGGUUGGAACACACCAACACCAACUUUCCAAAGAUCAUAAAUCUAAGCCAAAGGAGUCCAAUAACUUGCUGUGAACCUGCUGUGAACUUACACCAUGAACUCCACUAAAACAUCUAUUGUCACACCCCAUGACAUGCCUAUUUGGUCGGAUUUGGGCAUGUCGACAGAUCGCCGAACGGACAGAGUCUCCCCUGCACGUCCUAGGCGUCACAAUCUAUACUAUCACGCCCUACGCCCCGAAACCCCUACCAAUUUGGCACGGUUCGAGCGCAGCGAACGGACGCCGAACGGGUAGCAACUGUCCUGUCCGUCCAAGGCUCACAACCUGAUCAUAUACAAGAGUUUACGCAGGAAAAUUAAAUUCAUACAUACACGAUCAACGGAGCACAAAUAGUGCAAACAACGAAGAGCAAGUAAUCCACAAGAUACAUAAGUGAAAUAAAGAGAGAACUACUAACUAUUACAUCACAUUUGCAUUCUUUAUACAAUUACAUUUUCUUUCCCAAAAUGAAUACAUGCUCAUCAAGUACAUAGCUCUCUAAAGUCCUCACCUACAUGAAUCUCUCUCAAAUACAUAGGUAUGCUAAUGCAAAAGGAAAGCCACUACAUACUACUGGUCGGGCGCGAUGCCCUUGCCGCGGUCCUCGCCCGGCGAACUGGUACUAGGCCCUGCAACAAAGUGGGGUGAGAACUAUCUUCCAUAGUUCCCAGUGGGUUUGGCCGCCGACUCUGCCGAUCUCCCCACUAGGUCUGAGUGGGCAAAAGCAGGUAGAUAGAUAGAUAGAUAGAUAGAUAGAUAGGCAGAUAUCAAACUGUAAAUGACAUAAUAGGAAAACUAUGCUACUAUGCCCAAAGUCAUGUAUCAUGCAUGCAUGUAUCAUAUAGUAAAAUGUCAACUACUAUGUUACCACGUCCAACCAUAAUGUCCAAUAAGCAAUGUUCAAUUAACGAUGCUGUACUCUUGUUCAAUCAAUCCUUGGCGAUCCAUUUGGGUUUGCCCACGACUCACCUCAAACCUCGUAUUGUAAGGAGACGCACCUCGCUCUCAAACCCGGGGCCGUCUGCAGGACAUCAGCUCGUCCCUCUUGCACCAAACUCCGGAGUGCACGAAGCCUCGGGUGGAGCGACCACCACAAGUAUAACAGACUGUGAGUAUGAUCAAUCCUCUCAACUCGAGGACACCCUAUCAACUCUAGGGUUACAAGUCACUCGGGAAUCCACCUAUCCCAAUAUCCAAAUACUAUGUUUGGCCUCAUCAUGUGUUUAUGCAACAAGUCAUUUUCUAGGGAAUCCACCUAUCCCUAAGUUCACAUGCCUCUAGUGUUAUUUACACUAAGUCAUGUACUAGUGCUCAUGUCUUUACAUUCAUCGGGUUCAUCUCUCUUCCUCAGCACUAUAGGAUUCAAAUGUCAAGACCCAAUCCUUAUCUAGCCGAAAAUCAUGCAUUUCUACUCAUACAUCGAUAUCAAUAGCAAGCAUAAGCAAUGGAAAUACGAUGCAAUCCUACAAUGCAUAUGAAAGAGAUGCAAAUCAUAAAUGCUAAGACAUAGAAAGGAGUUUGGUUGCUUCGGGAUGACACCACCCAUCUUUUGAUGAUGUGGAGGGUUCAGAAACGCUAUUCGGCGUGCUUUACGACGAGGUCUCCACCACCUAGGUAGAAACGAAGCUUAUUUAAUAUCAUUUUGCCCAUAUCUUUUUAUCCGCUUGACGAAUCGUAAUUCCAACUUCGCCAACGCGUUUAGACACCCACCAAUUAGGUUUAGAUGCCCUCAAAUGAGAUCAAUCUCAUCAUUUUCUAAAAACCCCAAUUUUGGGUGCCCUAGGGUUAACAUCAUGCUAUUAGCACCAUAGAACCCUAGAUUCUAGCUCUAAUCCACUAUUAAGGAUGCUAGAGGUCCAUUUGACCUCAUCUCAAAAGCCAAAAACCCAAAAAUCCUAAGUUCUACCAUUAGGGUUCAAGAGCUUACCUCUAGUGCUAGCUCUAAAGGGAAGAAGAGAGGGAGAUGGAGGUGUUCAAGGCCUUCUCCUUGAUCUCCUUCUUCUUCUCCUUCCUUUUCCUUCUUUUUCUUUCUCUUUUUCUUCUUCUUCUACUUUGCUUCCAGAGAGGGAGAGAAAGAGAGCUUAGAGAAAGAGAGUGAGGAGUGCCUUAGGGAUAGAUGAGAGAAAGAGAGAGAGCUUUUCUCUCUAAUUCUCUCCAUCUAAUGUAACAAUUACAGCCAAUUCCCUCCACUUUGCAUCUCUCAACCUAGACUGCCUGGGCAGUUUUCGUGCGGAGGGACCGGUCCUCCCGAUGAGGGACGGUCCCCGAGAGCCUUCAGCCAGGGUUGCGCUCACGAGAACUGUCCGUCGCAACCCCAGCUACGAGGACCGGUCCUUCCCUGCUAGGGACCGGUCCCCGAGAGCAAACUCUGCACAGGCCCCUUUUCUACCAGAAUCUCUGCUUACGAGGACCGGUCCCCGAGAGCAGAAUCUGCCAAGUGCAUAUCUUGCACUAUUCGCUUUCGUGGACUCGAUUUCCAAAGCACUUUUUGUGUUUUGGACAUCUUUAGCUCCUCCGAAGCCUACUUGCUCGACAAUUAGUCGAUCCUGGACGAAGUCCAACUCUCGAAUUUUGAGAAUUCACUUCCUUACAUCCUCCCAUUCUUAAAAGGAGUUUCGUCGAAACUGAUUCAACCUAAUUUAAAUUCAGUUUCUAUACCUUAUUCCUCAAACAAGUGAGGAUGAUGCCUCCUCAUCAGAUCCUCGAGUUCCCAGGUGGCCUCGCGAUCAUCGUGAUUGCUCCACCGGAUCUUCACGUUGGGAAUAUCGCGAUUUCGCAGCUUUCGCACUUCUCGGGCUAUAACCAUCACCGGAAACUCCUCGUAGCUCAAGUCUUCUUAGAGUUCCGGCGGCUCAUAUAGCAUCGCGUGCUCGGGGUCAUGAAUGUACUUGCGAAGGUUGGAGACAUGGAAUACAUUGUGUCCAUCCGCGAGCUUCGGCAGCAAGGCAAGUCGAUAGUCCACCGUGCCAACUCACUCUAAUAUCUCAUAUGGUCCAAUGUACCGGGGACUCAACUUUUUCCGCACUCCAAACUGCUUCACAUCCCACAUUGGCGAAACUUUUAAGAAUACACGGUCACCAACCGCAAAUUCUAUGUCUCGAUGGCGCCUAUCAGCAUAGCUUUUCUGUCUCGACUGCGCCGUGAGCAAUCGCUUGCGAGCAAGGCGGACUUUCCCCUCAGCUUCUUGCAACACGUCUGCGUCGAAUUCUGCACGCUCACCCACAUUGCUCCAGUGUAUAGGAGAUCGACACUUCCGCCCAUAAAGAGCCUCGAAUGGUGCCAUCUCUACACUAGCAUGAUAACUGUUGUUGUAGGCGAACUUGGCCAUCGGCAGAUGACUACACCAACUUCCUUUAUAGUCGAUGACACACACCCGCAGCAUAUUCUCCAGAGUUUGAAUGGUCCUCUCUGUUUACCCAUCUGUCUGAGGAUGAAAUGUUGUGCUGAAAUCGAGCCGUGUGCCAAGGGCUUCCUGCAGGCUCUUCCAAAAGUGUGAGGUAAACCGGGGGUUGCGAUCCGACACGACCGAUUUCGGCACCCCGUGCAGUCUCACUAUCUCGUCAAGAUACACCUGCGCCAGCUUGUCGCCUGCCCAUGUGGUGUGGAUUGGCAAAAAAUAAGCCGACUUCGUCAAUCGGUCCACAAUUAUCCAAAUCGUAUCGUGGCCGCCAAUUGAGCGAGGCACACCGACAACGAAGUCCAUCGAUAUAUCCUCCCAUUUCCAAAAGGGGAUUUGUAGGCUUUGAAGCUUUCCCGCUGGAAACCGAUGCUCCGCCUUUACUUGUUGGCAUACUAAGCACUUAGCCACGAAGCAUCCAACAUCGCCCUUCAUUCCAGGCCACCAAUAGUGCAUUUUCAAUCGUUGAUACAUCUUGGUGCCGCCCGGGUGAUCACAAGAAGGCGACCUAUGUGCCUCUUGCAAGAUUAGCUCUCGGAUCUCCUUAUUAUUCGGCACACACCAUCGAUUUCGAAACUGAAGUGCACCAUCGGCGUCUACCAUGAAAUCACCGCCACAACCCUUCUCGAUGUCACGCCGCACCUUUUGGAGUUCUGGGUCCGCGGGUUGCAGAUUCUUAAUUCUCUCCAAUAAGGUCGGUUGGACAACGAGCGCCAUCAACUGGGCCGGAAUCUCGGGAGUAACCACCUCAAGGUUCAUUCGCUCCAUGUCUAGUCAUAAGGGUGUUUGAUUCGUAACCCACAUAGCGAGGUUCUCUGCACUUUCUGCUGAGCGCAUCCGUAGGGGUGGAACUGGGCCGGGCUUGGGUUAGGUUAUACUAUGCCCAAGCUCGGCCCAAAAUAAAAUGUUGGGCUUCGGGUCGGGCUUUUACCCAAUUGUUUUUGAAAAUUAAGGCCCGGCCCAAGCCCAAGCCCAAUGCCCAAGAUCCAUCAGGCUUUUUGGAGGCCCAUUUUAUGCAUUUAUCAUAUAAUAACUAAUUAGCUAUAUAUAAUAAUAUAUACCAUAUAUUUCUUCAUAGAUAUGUAUAAUUAAUUAAUUAUAUAUAAUAAUACAAUUAAUAUAUCCUAAUAUGGGACUAAAUAUUUUGUUAGUACAUAAUAUAUCCUCAUAUAUAUAAAUAAAUAUCAUUAAUAACAAUAUAUACUAUAUAUGAUAUACUAUAUCAUUUAUUCUUUUUAUAGAUAAAUAUUAUAUAUAUAUAUAUAUANAUAUAUAUAUAUAUAUAUAUAAAUAUAUAUAUAUAUAUAUAUAUAUAUAUAUAUAUAUAUAUAUAUAUAUAUAUAUAUAUAUAUACAAUUAAAUAUUUUUAUUUGAUAAUUAAUAUAUCGGGCUUUUGGGUCGGGCUCAGGCCGGGCUUGGACAUGCCCAAAUAGGCCUAAAAUUUUUUCGGGCCUAAAUUUUUAAGCCCGGCCCGAACCCAAAGUUAUAUAUUUAAUACCCAAAGCUCGGCCCGAACAUGACCCAUCGAGCCGGGCCUUGUUUAGGCCCGGGCCCAGUUCCACCCCUACGCAUCCGCGACCAUAUUAGCUUUUUUGGGGUGGUAAAGGAUGUCCACAUGGUAAUCCUUGAGUAAUUCUAACCACCGCCGCUGUCACAUGUUAAGCUCAUUCUGUGUGAACAGAUAUUUUAGGCUUUUGUGGUCGAUAUAGAUCUCACAAUGGGCACCGUACAAGUAGUGCCUCCACAGCUUCAAGGCGAAGAUUACCGCCGCUAGCUCCAAGUCAUGAAUGGGUUAGUUUUUUUCAUAGCUCUUCAGCUGACGGGACGCAUAAGCGAUUACUUUCCUGCCCUGCAUCAAAACAAACCCCAAUCCUAGAUAGGAAGCUUUGCUAUAGACCACGAAGUCUUCGCCUUGCACCGGUAGAGCGAGCAUCGGAAUCGAAGUUAAUCUUUGCUUCAACUCUUUGAAACUCCGGUCGCACUCCGCGCUCCACACGAACUUAGUGCCUUUCUGAGUCAGACGGGUAAGUGGAAUUACUAACUUCGAAAAGCCCUCCACUAACCGUCUAUAGUAGCCCGCCAAGCCCACGAAGCCUCGAACCUCCGUGACAUUCAUCGGGUGCGGCCAAUCCUUAAUUGCCUCAACUUUCCUCGGGUCUACUGAAACUCCACCCGCAGAAAUCACAUGCCCUAAAAAUGUGACUUCUCGGAGCCAGAAGUCACACUUCUUCAGCUUAGCAUACAGCUUCUCCUCCCGAAAGACUUGAAGCACUAAUCUUAAAUGCUCGGCAUGUUCCUCGUCGCUGCGAGAAUAGACCAAUAUGUCAUCUAUGAAGACUACGACAAAUCGUGCGUAGCGUUCUUGGCGACAGUUGUAGAAGUGGAUCGAGUGGCUCCGACCUUGGAGGAGUUGUCGGUAGUACGGGAGUUCCCGGAUGUGUUUCCCGCGGAGUUGCCAGGGAUACCGCCGGAUCGGGAGAUCGAGUUCGUUAUAGACUUGAUUCUCGGUACCGCGCCAAUCUCAAAGGCUCCGUAUAGAAUGGCGCCGGCAGAAUUAAAGGAGUUGAGGGAUCAACUACAGGAUCUUCUCGACAAGCAGUUCAUCCGGCCAAGUGUAUCACCGUGGGGAGCCCCGGUGUUGUUUGUACGGAAGAAGGACGGAUCGUUUUGACUUUGCGAAGAUUACCGAGAAAUGAAUAGAAUCAUGAUCAAGAACAAGUACCCACUACCCUGAAUCGAUGACCUGUUUGAUCAGUUGCAGGGGUCGUGUUUGUACUCGAAGAUAGAUUUGCAGUCUUGCUAUCACCAAUUGAAGAUCAAGCUGGAGAUGUGCAGAAAAUUGCGUUCCGUACGCGGUAUGGGCACUAUAAAUUCACGGUCAUGCCAUUUGGACUUACGAAUGCUCCAGCGGCGUUCAUGGAUUUGAUGAACCGUGUCUUCAGGGCACCCAACAGUCCGGAACAGCCUAAACGCUAUUUUAAAAAUUCACUCAGCAUCCCCGCACGAGUGUAACUGAAAUCUAAACUACCUAGAAUUUUCAAUAUGAUGAUACUACAAUAGUAUAAAAUCAUACAACGGCCCCUACGACUAAAUCAGGUAGUUUAAUAUAUGCCGAUCAUUAUCGCAUUUUCUCCUAAGUCGAAUCCAAGUCCAACAUGUAUAUUUAUGGUUACAAGUCAUGUUCUCAAUGCUGAAGUGUAGAGCAUGAUAGUGUAGUGAUUCAUAGCGGUAGAUUUUAUUUCUGCAUUUACUACUAUCUUUGCUCCCUUCUGUAGACUUAGUGGGUGGAUUGAUGUUGUUGAGGGCAGCACCCACUGAGGACUACCUGCUUUUACAGUAGUUCUCACGCCCUGUUGUUACCCCCUGUUUUUGCAGAGCCAUCGUCGUCGGCUGCUACUGUCGCAGAACUGAAUCGAGGCAAGGGCGUCGCGAGUUAGAGCCCUACCAGACGUGCCGAGCUAGAGGUGCCCCUACUGCAGGUAGAUGUUUUGUUUUGAGUUCAUGUACAUAGUAUAUUUAACUCGCCAGUGCGAGUCGCUCUGUAUUUUUGGUUAUUCGACUAUGUAUAUGGAACUCCGUUUGUUUAGUUUCUGUUUACUCUAGCUGCUCUAUAUUACUGUUUGUAGUAUUGUACGGUUUACAGGUACAGCUGUCGCUUCGUAUACAGGGAAAAUUCCUUUGUAUGCCGCGGAUUUGUCGGCGUGCCCGGGGAACGUGUAAUCCGGGGCGUGACAGGGAAUGAGAGAAAUAUCCCUUUUACCCCCUCACAUAGCUCAUAUGUUGCCAAAAAUGCAAAUAAGCCCCUCAAUUUCAUCUUAUUAAACUGCUCAAACUGGGCAGAUUUCGCAUGCGGGGACCGGUCUCCCCGAUCAGGGACCGGUUCCCGUAGCUCCUCCCUGUGUCAGCUAGGGCUCCCGCGCAAUGCGACCGAUCUCUCUUUGGGGGACCGGUCUCUCCCCGCAGGGACCGGUUCCCGAGAGCUGAUUUUCUGGGACUUAGCCGAUUUCGGCCUUUCACAUUUCUCACGCGUACGGGGACUGGUCUCUCCUUCAGGGACCGGUCCCCGAGAGCAUAAAAACUGCAGUUUGCAGAUUUUUUAUUCUUUAGCUCUUGAAAACCUUCCAUAACGCACUUUUAAUCGUUUUAACACUUUCGAACUUUCCGAAGUGUACUAUCAUCGCACUUUGGUCAAUUUGACUAAAGUUCGAUAUUUAUUUUUCGAAUUUCGGUAUAUUACAGGCCCUCUGAUCUCCUACUAUUGCUAUGGGAGGAGUUCAAGAGGGCGAUAUUCGCCAACUACUUUCCUGAUACCGUGAAGCAGAAGCUACAGAAGAAAUUUCUCAGGUUGAGACAAAGGGACCGCACAGUGGCGGACUAUGAACAAGAAUUUUCCCACAUCAUUGACUGCGUCCCCGAUGUGGUGAAGGACGAUCGAGACAGGGCCAAUUGGUUCUUACAAGGACUACGGCUGGGGAUCUACAAAGCGGGGCAGAUACUCAAGCUCCCGACUUUUGCGGAGGUUUUUGACCGCGCACUAUGGGCAGAGCAUGGAGACGCCCACGUGCGGGAGGAACGGAAGCUGCUGAACGAGUCCAAAGACAAGGACAAGAAACGUUAAGGCGGCGGUUUGGGGGAACAAUCGAGUUCCAAGAAGCCCCCGAAAUAUCCGCGGACGCAGUACAAGGGCCGUGGAGCACGGCGGUGCGUCAUUUGAGGCGGAGACCACCAAUCGGCGCGUUGUGAGCAACGCCAAGGCAAGUGUUUCAAGUGCGGGCAACCCGGGCACUUCAUUCGAGAUUGCCCGGGAGGUGGAGCCUCGCCUGCCCCAUCCAUUGCAUCAGCGCCGGUGGUUCCAGCUCAUUAUGGAGGAGCUCCACCGAUGGCGGCGUCGACGGGACAUGCCAUGGCUCCGCGUCAGUCCGAGAUGACGCGAUCGGCACCGAGCGGGCGGGUAUUUGCCGCUCAGGUCCAAGUCGAGGAGCCUACGGAGGCAAAAAAGCAUCGCCUUGUGGCAGGUAUAGUUUUAAUUAACGGAGUUCGCUACAAGGCUAUGUUUGAUACAGGUGCCACACACUCAUUCAUCAGUAGAUCAUUUGCACGCAUGCAUGAUAUAGUCGUAGAGGCGAGUGAGGGCAAGUGGCAAGUUCAGGGCCCUAGGUCGACAUUUAAUACCUAUAUGGAGUGUUCUUCGUGUCCAGUACAAGUUGGUGACUGGAUAAUGCGGAACCGUGAGAUUCCCUUUGUGAAGGUGCUUUGGAGUAAUCAUGAUGAGCGCGAGACCACUUGGGAGUUGGAGAGCGCACUGCGAGAGCGCUAUUCCUAUCUCUUUCAGAUGGAGGCUUAAGGUACUUUGCCUUUUGAGUUUCGCGGAUGAAACUCCUUAUUAGGAGGGGUGAAUGUAACACACUGGACCUUUGCAAAUUGUAAGGUUCGAGUGUUUGAACUGUGCUCUGAAGUUUUCCACACUUUGUGGAGGGUCGUAGCUAAUCUUUGAUCCUUGUUUGAAGCUUCUAAAAGGUUAGUAGCUCAUUCUCUCCCUCUAGAUUUGAAUUUUGUUGCUUUGUGAUAGAUGAAACCCUAGAAUGAGGUUUUAGGGUUGGUUUUGGGCUUUUUGGAUUUAGAGCUUUUGGAGCUCAAUUUUUUGGAUUAGAACCUUUCUUUGGGUUAGAUUGGAAGGGUUCUAGCUCCCUUUUGGAGCUUAAGAAGAGAUUUCUUCAUUGAAGGUGAGUUUUGGCCCUUUUCUUGUGACUGUUAAAGAUCGAGCUAGGGAUUGUUCGUAACGUUCGUUUCUCUCUUCUUUCUUUACCCUUAGGGUGCUAAAGGACUUGGGGACAACUUCGUUUGAGCUUACGAAGGGUUUCGAGAUGGUUCGGUGGGUUUGACCUAGCCUAGCAUGUGAGAAAUUCUCAUAUCCUAUGUUUUAUGCUUCGUAAAGUAGAAAUUUAUGCAUUUCCAUAAUAAAUGUAAUUAUUUUGAAUUUUAGGAUGCUUAACUUGCCUAUGUUAUGUGUAAUGAAUUUUCGGACCUCUAUGUAGUAGAGAACUAGUAUGUGGAACUUGUACAUGAUUGGCAUCCUAUUGAGACUUGGAAUCAUAAUACCUAUUGUGGAAAUGAGCAUUACGUUCAUGCAUUUAAAGCUAUGCCUAUUUGAGACUUAAAGGAUCUUAGUAAGCUAUAAAGAGGCUUAGGGACUUGUACUACUUGAGAAUAAUUGUGCUAAUGUCAUUAAGCGGCAUUAAGCUCGGGUCAUGUAUGAACCUAGUGUUAAGGUCAUUAAUGGAAUGUUGAAUAGGUGGUGUACUUAACCUAUAGCAAUGCUUAAGUGUCAUAAAGAGGCACUAAGCAUAGUGAGAGUUGGAACUUCACAUUGUGACACAGAACUAGAUCAUUGAGAUACUAGUGACUAAUGCCAUGUUAGAGACAUGAUGAUUGGGUACUUGAGACGAUGACUACGUUUGUUUGCCAUUUGUGCUCAUUCGCACAUGCUUGUGAGAGUCGCUCCCUACAAGCUGGCACUCCGGAGUUGGCCUACGCGACUUAUGUUUGCUCGUGCGGUAUCGAGAAACCUACGGGGUCGGAAGGGAUAGACUUAUUCCUAGAGUGAGAAGCUGGAGCUACCACCGACACUUAGGUGGCACAAGCUGGACUAUAUUUAUGUAGGUCCUAAAACAUGAUGGAAGCACUGACAUUGAACCGGAAAAUGAUAAUCACUACUAGUUAGGCUUAGUAGUUGGAUUACUUUGACAUACUUAUAGCAUAGUGUUGAGACAUGUAGUAUACUUGAUAGUUUAUUUAUUGCAUCAUUAUAUACUUGGUUGCCAUGAUAAAGUAUAAUCAUCAUAUAUUGAUAGAACAGGUCAUGGUACUUACUUGUUGCCAUGUUGGGACAUAUUACUUAUGCAUUGGACAUUCCUCAUCAUGAGAGAGUAAGUGUACAACAUAUUGACAUCGUGGUGCUUAUGGUAUAGUAAACAUACAUGUUUUUAUACCGCAGUUAUCAUUAGUAUUAUUGUUGCUUACCGUACUUACCCUUUUCUUUUGGGGCCUAGUGGUGCAUUAAACUGAGGUCAGUAAUUGCCUCCUGGGAAUUAUAAAUUAUAGUUCUCAUGCCCUCUGUCUUAUGUUUUAUUUCAGAGCCUUCCACGCCGGGUGAGGUUAGGGACCGCGGAAUGGGAAUCGCCUCGAGCUAGCUUGCUAUCGAGAGAUGCGUUGAUAGGUGGUCUACCUCUCGUUGUUUUCUUUUUGGAGAGGUUGAGAGUUGUAUCCAUGUGUAGUGACUACCCUUUUGUGUACCCCUUUUUGGAGAUGGUUAUUGUAUAACUUUAUGAUUCACUUUUACUGUUUAGAUUUUUCCUUCCACCUUGUUAUAGACGAUAGAUUUACUCUUGCUCUGAUAUCUCUAGUUGUAGAUUAUCUUUGGCUUUAUUUUCUGCUAUUGUUGUAGACGCCUUAUAUGUGUUGACAUAUGGCGGGUCUGGACGCCCUCCCGGGAGGGCCUCUGCCGUCCCCGGGGCAUGACAGUUGGAGUGGUGGAGCGACAAGCGAAUGUGACGCUACUUCAAGCCGAGGCUUUGCACCGACAGGAUGAAGGAAUCAGACGGUUGGAGAGCCUGUUGAUCCAACAGACGGCUGACCUCAAGAAAUUUCAUUAGGUUUCGGAUCGCGCCUUGACUGUGGGAAAAGACGUGGAGAUUACCAAGAUGGCAAGGGAGACCACCAAGAGUGACCAGUUGUAUGUUGGGGAAUCAUUAAGGAAAGUAAAAAAGAAUCGACCUCAGGGACGUGGUUCUUUUGCCGGGCGAAGAAUGUCGAGUCAUCGACCGCCACGGCGAUGUGUGAUUUGCGAAGGCCUGCACGUUCCCCCAAAGUGCCCUCAGCGGAGAGGAAAGUGUUUUGUGUGUGGUCAAGAAGGCCAUUUUCGAUCCAAGUGCCCAAGGAAUAGUAUGCCUAAGAAAGUAUCUGCAUUUUCUUUGUUGCGAGAGGCACCCAGUGGAUAUAUGCCUACAGAUUGGCUGGAACAUGAUGUCGCGACGGAGAUGACUACCGCAGGCAGCCUGUUAUUGUAAUUCGAUUAUGCUUGUGAUGAUUGUUCUAAUCGCAUCUUUGAUCGGCUGUUCGUCGAGUUGUGUAGCAUGGAUUCUUUUACUCGAUGCAUAUAGAAUGAUUGGAGUAGCAGGAUGGUCUUGAUGAGAGAGUUUUGGGUGUGCCAACAAAUUGAUUGGCAUUACUUGUGAUAGAAUAGUUUUGGUUUAAAGUCUAGCUUGGAGGUACCUUGUACCGUGGAUUAUGCGAACUGAAUUGAUUCGCUUUGAGAGUUUGAGCAAGAAUUAAUGCAUCUUGAAGGUUUAAUCUCGCUGAUUGCGAAGAUUGUUAUCUUACCUAAAUCAUGUAUUUAUUGGAGAGGAAUUGGAGCCUAAUUGGCUGAUAACCUUGAAUGAUUGAAGAUCCUCAGAAUGAAGGAUAUCUUUUAAGAAGUUAUUGUUAUAUUCCUGAUCGAGCCACAAAUUAUGGGCUCGAUUGGUAGGAAGGCUUUUGUGCCUAUUGUUUUGCUUCAUGAUGGAGCAAUCUCACUGGUUGUGAGGCUAAAUAGAUUGUUCGACUAUGUGUCGACUAUCGUGAACUCAAUUGAAACACUAUUUUCUUUGGUUUAAACUCUAAACUCUAUUUCCUUUAAAUAAUAUCUUAGAUAUGGUUUAGUUUUUUCCUGUUAAUUGGAUAUUCGGGCUUUCGUGAAUAUAAUAAAGAACUUGUGGAUUCUUAUGAAAUGAAAAUGAUUUUCUACCUCUCGCGGUAGCAGAUUUUAAAAGAAAAAGGGUUUCCGUGUGGGAAACGAUUUUAAAAGGUUUCUCGUGGUUUUCAUAACUUAGUAUUUCAAAAUGAGUUUCCGGGUAGGAAAUAUUCUAAACUAAUAGUUAUGGAUUUCUAAAUAAACUCUGAAUAUGAAUUUGUUGGUGAAUGGUGUAUGAAUGUAUGAAUGUUUGUAUAUUCAGUUGUGGUGGUUGUAUCCGUUUAUGUAUCUUGUACUUGUGUGACGCCGUGCAAAUACAGGGGAGACUCUAUCCGUGUGAACAGUGAACUCUCUGUAUUUGUGGCGGAUCUGGCAUACCGUGGGGGUCAGGUUUUCAAAAAAAAAAAUUUGGGCACUUCCGCUUUGUUUUUAAACCAAAAUGAGACCCUGAGGCGUGGCAGAUAUUUACGAUAAAUUUUUUUUUAACUUUGAGAAUUCUAUUUUUGAAUUUAGAAAAUGAAAAAUACUAACAAAAUAAAAAAAUAAAUUGUAGCAAUUGAUAUUUGAAUUUGCUUAGUUAUUUGUCAUAUGAUUUAUUAUUAAAUUUUUAUGGAUAGAUCUCACAAUUUUUUAAAACAAAAUUAAUAAAAAAUAGAUUUUUCUUCAAAAUUUAAAUACAUAUAUUUAAUAGAUUUAAAUUUUAAAAAAAAUUAUUAGAGCAAUUGUAGUACUAUUCUAGUUAAUCUAGUCAUCAUGUGGUCUCUCAUUGAAUCAAUAUUAUUGAUUUUUGCAAAUUCCAUAAAAACUUUAAGAAAAAAUAAUUUUCUCUAAUUUUGUAUUUUAUAAUUUUUAAAGUUCUGCAAAAAAGAUAAAAUCAAAAAAUUUUCAAUGCUAAUCAAGUUUCUAUUUUUAUUUUCUAUGAGCUAUAGUUAUAUUUUACCUUACAUAUAUAAAAAAAAUCUGUUAUUAUAUUAAUUGUAGAGUGUAGUAAGUUAUACGUAGUGAAUAUUUAUAACUAUUUUUAAAAAUUUUUCAAAAUAGCAUUACAGGAGCUUAUUGAAAAAAAAAAUUUUAAAAAAUCGUGCCAAAUCACCCUACUAGAGAGUUAUGCGUAUCCAUCGGUACGCACGUGUCAGCAUGGAGGCCUUCCUGUCCCAGACCGUGCCAGGCCACAACCGGCACGUCGUCGUGCCACGGCACUUUAAUUCUUGAUGUAAAUAGUCCAAAUUCAGCAUAUCAACCCUGUACAUACAGAUUUGAGGAGUUCUAACUCAGGAAAUCAGCAUCUCACACGAAAUUUUCAAGAUACAAGGUUAGAAUAUUUAACUAGACUAAGAAAUCAACAUGCAUGCAGAAAUUUUCGGACAUAGUGGGAAUUCCAAUAUUUUUGGUAAAUUAAACACACCUCGAUUCGCUAAUCUAACCACGGAUCGAGUCGAACCUUCACAAGCACCUUCCCUAAAUCCUGAAUUGCCGAGAAGUGAAGAAAAAUCUAGAGAAUUCCUGUUGGAUUUAACCGAAUCAAAAAUCAAACCAAAAAUCUAAAGAAAACUGAUUUGGUCCGAGAAACACGAAAAUUCACCCACACUAACCUUAAAACAGCUGAAAACGAGUAAUUCCCUGGUUCUCCACUUCUACAAGAUCACAGAGAAAGAUCCAUUUCGCAACAUAAAUGCCCCACGAAGUCAGAAUUGGAUUGGAUCUUAUUAAGUUCCUACUGCUGCUGCUUAUUGUUGCUGUUGUUACUGUGUAGUUACCAACUAACAAAAGAGAGCAACGAAAAGAAGGAAUAAGAAAGAAGAUACUUAGGCUGAUCCUCAACUUCUAACUUUGUAAACCACCCAUAAUUACCAACCAAACUCAGGACAAAAAGUUGAAGAAUCUCAAGAACUUAAAUCCAUCAAAAUUCAUUUCGGUUCGAAGACUCAAUGAAAACUAAAAUUCUUACCAUACCAACCUUCAAUUCCGCUUAAACGAAGUUCCUACUAGUUUUAGAUGAAGGCAAGAUCACUCUCAACUUUUCAAAAGUUCAGCUAAGGGCAUGUUUGGUUGUCCGUAAGUGAAACAAUAAAAGUGGUAUUUUGACGAAGUGAGAUUAUUUCAGUUGUUUGGAUUAUAAAAGUAAAUAUGUAAGUGACUUUUGAAAAGUGAACCUAUGAAGUGGAUUAUAACUAAAAUCCACUUUUUUGACUUCGGCAAAAGAAAUUUCGAAGUCGUUGAAAGUGGGCCGCCUACUCCACGCAACGUAGGAAUCGCAUCCAAAAAUCUUCUUCCGUACCAUCUACAAAAAAAAAAAAAAAAAAAAAAAAAAAAAAAAAACCACGUAUAUCUUAAAAAAAAAAAAAAAAAAAAAAAAAAAAAAAAAAAAGAACAACCGACGGUAUCUUAAAACAAAUAAAAAAAAAAAAAAAACAAAAAAAAAAAAAAAAAAACCAACAAAACAUAAAAAAAAAAAAAAAAAAAAAAAAAAAAAUAAAAAAACAAAGAAAGACGUGCCUUAUCACAGAUACAUCUACAAAAAAAAAAAAGAAAAAACUAGCAUCAACUAAAAAAAAUCAUUUUCUUUUUUUAUUUUCUUACAUAGAACCAAACAAUAGAAGUUAUAAAAACUGUGUUUUUUUUCUUUCACUUUUUUGAAACCAAACACUUAAACUCAAAAGUGACUUUUAUAAAACUCACUUUUUGAAAAGUGACUUUUUCACUUCAAUCACUUACGGACAACCAAAUAUGCCCUAAAGAGAUAGAUUAAAAGAAAAUCUGUCAAAUCUCUAGAACUAGCAAAAUCUAGCUGUUGCCAUGUGGUGUGUCCACAUUGGCCCGUUCAAAUUUAACCCUGCUUGGUGAAAAACUCAAAAUUUUAAAAUUUGAAUUUUAUUCUAUUUGAAUUUUGAAUUAUUUAUUAAUUAUUUAUUGUUAUUUAUUAUUUUAUUAUUUAUUUAUUUAAUUUAAUUUAUUUACUUAUUUUAUUUUCUUUCUUACUGAGAAAGAAACCAACGGGAUAUUUUUUCCGUUCCGUUUCUUUCGCCAAACGGCUCAUUCCGUUGCGCAGGUUCCGCUUCUCUCUCGUAACGAGAAAGAACGUGAAAUCAUCUUUCUUUUUAUGCCAUUUCUUUAUCUCCUCUGUCAAGAUAGAGGAAAUAAAAAAGAUAUCAGAUAAUUGGUUAAUCCUUAUCUACUCAUCUUUUUAUCAUUUACUAUUCUAAUAUUUCUCUUAUCUACUAGGUGUUGAGAGAAUCUCCUUCACGACCGUCCUCGCAGGAAGAGAAAUUCCGGUCGUAUCUUGGGGUGUUGUUCCUGAUUAAUCCCGCACGUAAGGACGAGAAUACGCCUUAGGGCAGUGCCUAUAAGAUCAAAUCUUUAUCGAGAUAUUUACGUUUAUUCGUAUGUUCAAUUUUAUUUUUAUCACUAAAUUAGUUAGAUUCUAAUCACAAUUGAAUUUUUCGUUGCGAUUUUUCCCAACAAUCUAAGGCGUAAUUCUAAUCUGAUUGUGAUUAAAUCUAACAGGUGCUAAUCCUUAAAAAAAAAAAAAAAACUGAUAUUCCAUAUAGUUCUAUUUGACAACUUGUCUGUAUGUUCGUUAUUCAAAGUUAAACAAAUUGGUAUUAGCAUUUUUUAAAAUAUCUAAUUGUAUAUAGUUUUGUUGUAAAUUUUUCUUGUUCAGAUUUGCUUUCUGCUGUAAAAGAAAAAAGGUGUUAUAUACUGUUUUUUUUAUACGGCACAACCUUCUUUAUAUAUAUAUAUAUAUAUAUAUAUAUAUAUUGGGAGUAGCAUUUAAAAAAAAUGUAAAUUGCAUUUAAUUUUUAUUUUCUAUCUUCAUGAGUUUCUAGUGUACAAAUUUAAUUUUUUAAAAUAAAUUACUUAGAGAUGUUUAAAUGCAUUGCCUUUUUGGGGAUGCAUAUAAGAGUCCCAAGAUAUUCACUUUGUCGACAGGUGAAAACGUCGCAAUCUAUUUUAAGAGGUAUAUGAAAAAUCAAAUUCUCUACGUUCAUGGGGAUGCUUUAAAGCGUCGCUUUGAAAAUGUCAACGCUUUGUGCUAGUGUCCCCAUUUGUUUGUCGUCACCAUGUUUAUCAACCCAUUUGCCAAUGCUUGGCUGAGCGAUUGUAACUCAACUAGAUACACUUGCAAGCGCCAACAAGUUGAUUAAAAAGCAUCGCUAAAUGCUGCCUUUUUUUGUAGUGCAUACACACACACACACAUAAGAGCUCAAUUCACACCUGCACGUGCAAACACAUAUGUGUGUAUCACUACACCAUAACACGCUUUUAGAGGCAAUUUAAACUGCCAGGAAAAAUAAAAAAAGUGCUAGGAAAGAUCUUUCCCGGCAGUUUCUUGUGGCACUCACAAGUGCCGGCUAAAAUUCAGUCGGCAAUUAUUUUGCUGGCACUUUUUGUAACCGCCAGUAAACAUUAAAUAGCCGGCACUUUCAACUGCCGGUUAUGAUAUCUAUUUCGGCACUCAAAAGUGCCCCGCAAAAGAAUCUAUAGUGGCACUCGGAAGUGCCGGCUAAUAUAUCUAUUUCGGCAUUCAAAACUGCCACUAUACAUAUCUAUAGUGGCAGUCAUAAAUGCCAAAUAAGAUAUAUAUUUCGGCAACCAAAAUCGCAACUAUAAAUAUCUAUAGUGGCAGGGAGAAGUGCCGGCUAAGAUAUCAAUUUCAGCAUUCACAACUGCCAUUAUACAUAUCUAUAGUGGCAGUCAUAAAUGCCAGGUUAGAUAUAUAUUUCGGCAACCAAAACCGCCACUAUAAAUAUCUAUAGUGGCAGGCAGAAGUGCCAAUUAAGAUAUCUAUUUUGGCAUUCAUAACUGCCACCGUAUAUAUCUAUAGUGGCAGUCAAAAAAUGCCAGCUAAGAUAUAUGUUUCGACAAUCAAAACUGCCAUUUAUUCAUACUUUCAGGGGCAUUUUUUUGCUGAAAGGUUUAAUGGCACUUAUUAAUACCACUUAUAAAGAUAUAAUUACCAUGCAUUCACACGAAUAGAAAUACAAAAAAUAUGUAUACACAUGCAAGCAGCUUCAAACACAAUAAGUUUUGCAUAAGAAAAUUAGAGAACAAAAAGUUAACUUCAUAAGCUUUCAACUUGUAUCAUAUAUUCGACAUCCACAUUAAACCAAAAAGACUUCGAGUUUAAUUCCAACAACAAAAUAGUAACAGUACUACUCCAAAUACAUAUUUAAGUUAUAGACAAAAUGAAGCCUUGCAAUUGGUCAACAUGCAAAGUUGGCGCCAUCUCUGUAGGGAUCAUACAAAAUGUUGAAGAAGUGAGGUUGUGACCUGGGGCUGGUAAUGAUGGUUUCUUUAUGUGCUGCUACUAGACAUUGAAACCUUUGGGCCAGAUGGUCCUCUUAGCAACGCUAUUUGGUAGCAUAUAAGAAGAAUUAAGCAACACAAAAACAAGGAAAAAAAAAGAAGCAAUCUGGUUCACAUCCUUUAUUAAUCUUAUUUAGAGAUAUUAAAUAUGCAAAGAAUUUCCUAUUACUCAUAUAAAUUUUAUGAUAUUACAAAUUUUGAUUAAAAAAGUCAAGAUUCAGUUUGGCCAGAAGAAACACCUAACAUAAAUCCAAUAUUUCUUUGCAGGCAAUUUUAGAUUUCGACCUUAUCAUAUAUUGCAAACAGAUAACAAUUCUACGCUCGCUAAAGAGAAUACACCCUACAUCAUCUCAUAUUUCAUGUGAGAUUGGCAUGUUUAAGUUUUGACAUCUUCCUUCAUCUUCAUAUACAGAGCGAAAGCCAUAAAUUCUAAUUCAGAAGCAGGCCAAUGUUUUAGCGUAUUUACUUAUUCUGAUCGGCUCCUGGGCAACACUAAAAAUGAAACUUAUAUAAGAAUUUAAACCAUGAUGGAAAAGUAUGCUGAAUUUUUAAUUAACAACUUCUGUAUGAGGUCAUAAAAUACUCAAGCACUAAGAAACGGACAAAUCUGGCAAGAGCCAAAUGUAUUAGUAGAACAAACAUAUAAUUAUGUCCGAUGCAAAUAUUAUGAUAACCCUAUAAGCUUCAGUGCAUCAAGCUAUGGCAUUCUGCAUCUUGCUAUUGUGCUACAGGAAAUCACUCUUAUUUCACGUACAAAUUUAGGGUAUAGAAUUGCUCAAGAUGAUUGGAUUUCAGAUUAUCAAGAUAAGGAGAAUACAGAGCAAACAUUAAUAGUUUAUCAAAAGUCAGAAUUUUGUUUUAGAUAAAUUACAUGUUAAUAGUAGCAAGUCACUUAUAGAAAUAGCUUUAUUUUAUUUAUUGGGACUGCCAGGUUGUUAAGAGGAAAAACCAACUCGAGAGAUCUCCAAGGACUACUUUAAGAAUUCAGAAAGGAGGAUAUCCUCUCUCUUACCAUCCCUCACUCCUACAAAUAGCAUAGUGAUUAAUGUAAGAGAUCUGUAACUUUGAUGCCCUGUAUACAACUAAAGACCAUAAUUCAUGUGCUGCAUAAAUUCAUCAGAAAAAACACUAUUGAUUUAUUCUUCUAAUGGCCGCAACAGGGGCAAGGCAGAUUAAUAACAUCUAGAUCAACAAGGUUUGUAACAUCAGCAAAAAAACCAUUGACUUAUUUAUGAAAAUUCUUUUGCAAUAUAUUUCCCUUUGUCAAUAGUUUCCUAAAGUUUGGGCCGAGACAAUAAAAUAUAGAAUACGUUGGAUUAUGAUACAGUGAGAAGAAAUCUGCAUAUACAAUAUACAGAAAUUUAUUUAUUUGAUCCAGUCUAUAAAAUAGAUAAUGCUAGGAUUAUGAUUAAAUACAUAGAUUAAAGACGUGCAAACUGUUCAAGUUUUCACGUAUUUCAAUUGAACACAGAAAUAUCGCAAAAUUAUGAAAUAUACUGAAAGGUGUUUAAAGUCAAUAUUCCAUCAGCGCACUAGCGGAGUUAGUAAUUUAUAUUUGUUAGGUCGUAAUAAAAAAAGAAAAUUUAGCAUGCACAUGCUUUAGGUUUUCAACAAUUUGUUAACAGAAAGAAAGAAAGCACAAAGGAUAAGUAUCAAGAAAAAAAGGAUCACCAAAGUGCACGAAUUAUAAUGAAAAAGAAAAAUCCCAACCGUCUUACCGACAGGUUUUCGCUGAUAAUUGUCUUUCACCUUUUCACUGGACUUAACCUGUAAAAGAAAAAAAAGAAGUACUGCGAUAUAAGUGUCAAGGCAUUAUGUUUACAAUGUUAUCAGUUUUGAAUGUAUAGUGUGAUUAUACUUUACAAGAUUAGGAUGGCUCAGCAAUAUCCGAUUUCUUCGCAGAUCCGUAUCUUAGUACAUACGGCAUGAAACUCCUAAUACAACUUUCAUGUAGUGUAUCAUUACUACUCAAAUAUAAAACUCCCCAAUAUUGUUUGACCUAAUCUGUCGCCUCCUACGAUCCGUAGACAGAUCUUUGCUAAAUCCAGAAGUCUACGUGCACGCGGACGAUGAGGUUGUCCAAUGACAUUAAUGAGCACUUCAACUGUGGCACCCUGUCAAGCAUUUUUAUAAAAUAAUAGAACAUAUAUUUACACUGUCGAAAUAAUCAAUAUAGAUGUUACCUCAGUUUCAGUUAUGUGCAUCUUUUUAUUCCUUUGCUUGAGACCUAUAUAUAUAGUAUCUAUAUAUAUAUAAUAAUAUAUAUAUAUAUAUUAUAUAUAUAUAUAUGUCAGAGUCACUAAUAAUAGCUUUCUAAAUAAAUAAUAUUAUUUUGAAGUCUACUCAUUGCGCGGUUUUCUCUAAUAACAUUUGCAUUGUUCCAACUUAUUUGAAGGGACGAACUCCACAUUUCUGCAUAAAGAUUUAAAUCUAGAAUUCGAUUACCGUAAACUUCAACUGUCACCCUUAAUUAAACAUAUCUAUUCUCUUAGAAAUAUAAUCUCAGUUAUGCUUACUUUGUUAGCCAUCUACCUCUUGUCUUAGCUUUGGAAAGCAGAUGAUCAUAAAAUCACAUCUAAAUUAGGAUAUAAACGUGAAAUCAACAGCAUAGUCAUUUGGUGAAGAAUAUGUGAUAAAUAAAAAUAUGGAAAUUUUUUUUGCUAAGUUCCAUUAAUUAUUUGCCGAGUAGAUGUCAAUAUUAUAUAUUUGACAAUCAGCUGCUAAGGAGUUAAUUUGAACUUGUGGAUGAUCCUUGCUGAUUGAAACGUACUUUUCCAUUACAAAGCAAUGAUUAUGUACGGUUUGUUUGCACACUAAAUCCUAAUAAUGUUAAGCAGUAGUCAGACACUUCCGAAGUAGAGCACGGCCUACUUCCUCUUUACGUCAAAAAACCACUUAGUUUUUGGUGCGUAUAUGCACGUUUGUGGUCUUAAUUAACAGACUAUAUGUACGGUUGAACAAAAUGUUUUAUUCGCCAAGGAUAUAUAUAAUAUUGUGUGCGAAUGCUCUCCAUUGGAGCGGAUAUUGCUGUAAUUUGUGUGAAGAGCAGGUGAAACUCUUAUUAAGAGCCACAAAUCAAAUUGUUUUAGUUUUGAUACUAAGGGUAUAUUACUCAAGCUUAUUUUAAUAUUAAUCCAAUGUACUAAAUUAAGCAUUUGCUCCAAAAUUUUGUCAGUCACUAAUAAGAGGCUAAACAGCAGCCAGAGAGAAAGUUUAUUCAAUUAAGGUUCGAUUAUUCUUUUUCUUAAAUCGCGAACUGUUUUCGCGGCGCUUAGGAUUCAUUUAAUUCGUGGAGUUCGCUUACAGUCCAAAAUAUCAGACUUGGUGUAUAAAAUAUAGUAAUUAGUAUCAAAAUGCAAAUUAAAAUAUAGCGUUAUACACCAUCCCACACAUAGCGAAGCUUAUACUACGAGAACACUAAUAAGAAAACAGUAUAAGAUAUAAUGAGAAUGAAUGCAAGGGCGAUUAAUGAGAAGCGACGAAUCUUACCCAAUCCUAUAGAGCCUUCUUGGAGUCGGGCGAUUAUGCGUCGGCGUAGCCCGCGAGGAGUUAAACAUAGAGUUUAUAGUAAUAAUAGUAUAGUCAAAGAUAUAGUUUUGUAAAUUAAAAUUAAAUAGGAUUAAUAAAUAGCUCAUAACUUUAUUUAUAACAGUUUUACUCAUAUGCCAAAUGUUUAUAUACUAGCAAGGGAGUCUAAAAGUUGCCUUUUCUAAAAAUCAAGGCAAGCCGAGAAAAGCUUAAGAAACUUGUGCUAAUGUUCUCAAUAAAGAGGAUCCUCUAGUAACUAAGCUAGAUGAUUCUCAUAAUUAAACUGUGGCAUUUCAUACUUCUAACAAUACAAUGGCUUGUAGAUGCACAAACUAUUGAGAAAUAUAAAAAGCAAAUGAAUGCCAAAAAGAACAAGCAUUGAAACGUACACAAAGAAAGAUUACUCAAAGCUGUUUUUUUGCUCGUUGAUGAAGCGCCCACACUCUUAAACCAGCGCAUGAGGUUUCAUGAUCCUUCACGGUAAAGCCAAGCUUGAGGAAAGCGAAAAGCUCUCAUUUAUGCGCGCGCAGGCCUCGAUGUAUCGAUGAAAGCGUCACUCACCUCUGAUCUAAUCCUUACAAAGCAAUCCUCACGUGCUAUGCAUUCUUACAAAGAAUUCAGGAAAACGAAAAGUCAAAUUAAUAAACUCUGUAUUUCCGUUCUGUGGAAAAACAAAUGCAGCAUAUUAAAUUCCCUAAUUUCAAAUUGAGGCAGCUUUUGAAUUUUGUAGCCCAUAACUUUGCACUUAGAUGUAUAUGAUUACUUUUAUAAAUUCAACCUUAAGCCUUUCUUGUAUCAAGCACCCAAAUCUUUCAUUAAUCUACCGUUAUAUCACAUUUGCCAGUAUCUUUCACCACCACUAUCUUUAAAAGGAUAGCUGUUUAAUUUCCGCCUUGAUCUUGUGAUAUUCCUAGUUUAAAGAAUUCAAAAUCUCUCUACUGAACACCGUGGGAACUUAAAAGUUUAUUCUUUGCUAUUAAUUUUUUAUAUUGUUUCAUUGCCAAUUAGUUUGACCUCAUAACAAUUUCAAAGUAGCUAAUGCUUUUAAGCAACGAUGUCUUGUAAAUCGCUGUAUCAUACAUACCCUUCAUCAAUUUAAUCUGUCAUCUGAUGUUCUUCAUUGUUAAAGUCCGAAACCACACCUCUACACUAAUUCAACACAAAGGUUUGUUACUAUGAAUAUACUAUGCCCUAGACACAAUUGUGCCUCUUAGCAUCAUCAAUAUGGUUGACAAACCUACAAUGGUGUCGCAAUGAUCUUACUCUUCUACUAACAGUAAUAAAAGUUAAAUUAGCAACUCCACUCUAAAGCAAUAAAGUUAAGUUAUAAUAACAAUUUGCUACAGUAUGGAUAGCCCUCAAAUUAAGGUACCACUUGUUUAGGAUUUGCCCAUUCGGCAGGCACAACUCAACACUAAUUACUAACGUUUUUUUUCCUAAUAUUUUGUACCUAAUAUAUUUCUUUUUUUAAAAGAUUAUUCAUGCAAUUUAUUCUUUAUGUUCUGUUUUUUUUUUCUUUCCUCAGAAGGUUUUAGAGUAUUAAAAACAAAAAAAAAGGGUUGGUUGUUUGAGCACAUAUCAGAACCCCUCCUACUACGUGAAACAAAUUAAUUAAUCGACGAUAUGUAAAAAUUUAUACUGCUCCAAAAUAAUAAUAAUAAUAAUAAUAAUAAUUUUACCACUUUUGGUUGGAAUUUGCGGAGGAGGUGAAGGCGGAGAGGAUGGGCACGCGGGCGGGGGAACUGUGAGGCGCAGGCGAGAGGGUGGCACCUGCGUAGCGAUGCGAGGAUCAGUGAGGAACGGUGAGGCGCAGGCGAGAGGGUGGCGAUGCGUAGCGAUGCGAGGAUCGGUGAGGAACUAUGAGGCGCAGGCGAGAGGGUGGCGCCUGGGUAGCGAUGCGAGGAUCGGUGAGGAACAGUGAGGCGCAGGCGAGAGGGUGGCGCUUGCGUAGCGAUGCGAGAAUCGGUGAAGCGCAGGCGAGGGAAGGGAACGGUGAGCAUGCGGGUUUGAAGCAG